CAAACCUUGACACCCACCUGCAUUAUGUGAAUACAAAAGCUUCAUGUUGGGUUUUACGAGCUUUGGCAGAUUUAACCACCCCCCCACCUCCUGGCUGGGGAGGCAGGAGUUUCUCUGGCAGCGAGGUAAGAAGAUGGGUCGAUGUGAUUUGGCUUUGUUUCCUUUAGGUGACUUUGGCUUUCGGGAGAGAAAGUUUAAAACCCAGCACAUUCCUCUUUAUAAAUGAUGUAACACAUUAAUGCACAGCACAUUAUGAAAAUGGUAAUUCAAACCCAUAGUGCUCCAAAUUAAACCAUACAUUAUCGGAUGCACUCAACCAUCUAUUUUGCAAAAAGACAGGAUGAAUGAAAUCAAAUCAAACAGAACCGGAGAGCAGCUUCCCCUACAGAAUGAUUAAUAAAGUGUAGAGCCUCAGGAUUAUUGCAAGACGAAUUCCACCGUAACCCAGACGUACAUCAGGAGUUAGCUCCUAUAUUGAGAGACACGUCAUAGUAUGCUGGGGAGGGCAAGGCGAUGAUGGACGCCCCAUGCCUCCCACUUGGGCUACGGAUUUCUCAGGAGGGGCCCCCGGUUUGCAGAGCGCGCACUGCCCGCCAGGUCGCAUCCUCACCGAGAAAGCAAAGCAAACCAGCAGCGCAGCAACGGCUCGCCGGGCGCGGCCAGGAGGGGGCGGGCAGCCCGCCUCGACGUGCGCCCGACACGUGUCCGCCGGCCCCUGCUCCCCUCCGGCCUCGGCCUCGGGGAACCGCCUCGCACGGGAGGUCCCCGGCCCCGCCGCGCAUCCUGGCAAUCGGCGCCCGAGGAUGCCCAAGCCUGCGCCAGCCGCGUGACCGAGGGCGCUUCGGGGUCCCAGUGACUCCGCGCCUUCUCAGCACCACCCAGACCCCGUCCAGAGAAGGCUCGGGAGGCACCAAUGCCUGGGGUCGACAGCCCAGCGCUGGCCUCGGGGAGCCCCUGAGCCUCGCAAAGCACCAGUCCCUGCAGGCGCACGAACUCUUUGGUUUCAAGGCGUCUAAAAGGCGGCCCGCAAGAGGAAAGCAGGCGCGUUUCGAGUGGGCCGCGCGCGGGCGUCGUCGGGGCCGGCGCCGGUCACGCAUCUUCCCGCCACUAGGUGGCGCCGGAGGCACGCCGACUUCGCAUCCCUGCAGGGCUCUGGGGACGGUGCUGGGGACCGUCCUGGUGCAGCCAGGAGUCUGAGCCCCGCGCCCCGGUUCUCUCUCCGAGCCCCUCGUGCCUCGAAUCCAGGCCCAGAGGAAAAACUGCAUUUACACACUCCCUCCACCCUGUCCCCAGGAAAUGUCAAGGACUUUGAAGUGAGCCUGGGAGCUAAAUAACCAAGUGGAAAAAAAACCCAUAAAGGCGGUUUUAUGUUAUUUGUAAUGCGUUGGCAGAAGUUCUGUGUUUUUUUCCUCCCCCCACCUCCUUUCUUGAGGAAAGGCAUUAAACUCGACCUUGAACGGAAAUCUCAGAAGGAAACCAUAAGGUAUUUAAACAAGAAUAAAGGAAGGACAUCUGCUCA
rnacentral:lncRNA from 1 species